GACAGAGGCCUCGAGCGUUAGGCGGAAUCACUGGGCUUAAAGCGUGUGUAGGCGGGCCCGUAAGUGUCUUGUGAAAUCCCACGGCUCAACCGUGGAACUGCUGGGCAUACUGCGGGUCUUGGGCCAACUAGGGGCAGCCGGAACAAGCGGUGGAGCGGUGAAAUGCGUAGAUAUCGCUUGGAACGCCGAAGGUGAAAACAGGGCUGACUGGGGGUUGCGCCGGACGCUG
rnacentral:rRNA from 1 species